rnacentral:snRNA from 1 species
AUGCUCGCUUUGGCAGCACAUAUACUAAAAUUGGAAGGAUACAGAGAAGAUUAACAUGGCCCAUGCACAAGGAUGACGUGCACAUUCGUGAAGCGUUCCAUAAUUUU